CUAAUACAUGCAAGUCGAACGAACUCUGGUAUUGAUUGGUGCUUGCAUCAUGAUUUACAUUUGAGUGAGUGGCGAACUGGUGAGUAACACGUGGGAAACCUGCCCAGAAGCGGGGGAUAACACCUGGAAACAGAUGCUAAUACCGCAUAACAACUUGGACCGCAUGGUCCGAGUUUGAAAGAUGGCUUCGGCUAUCACUUUUGGAUGGUCCCGCGGCGUAUUAGCUAGAUGGUGGGGUAACGGCUCACCAUGGCAAUGAUACGUAGCCGACCUGAGAGGGUAAUCGGCCACAUUGGGACUGAGACACGGCCCAAACUCCUACGGGAGGCAGCAGUAGGGAAUCUUCCACAAUGGACGAAAGUCUGAUGGAGCAACGCCGCGUGAGUGAAGAAGGGUUUCGGCUCGUAAAACUCUGUUGUUAAAGAAGAACAUAUCUGAGAGUAACUGUUCAGGUAUUGACGGUAUUUAACCAGAAAGCCACGGCUAACUACGUGCCAGCAGCCGCGGUAAUACGUAGGUGGCAAGCGUUGUCCGGAUUUAUUGGGCGUAAAGCGAGCGCAGGCGGUUUUUUAAGUCUGAUGUGAAAGCCUUCGGCUCAACCGAAGAAGUGCAUCGGAAACUGGGAAACUUGAGUGCAGAAGAGGACAGUGGAACUCCAUGUGUAGCGGUGAAAUGCGUAGAUAUAUGGAAGAACACCAGUGGCGAAGGCGGCUGUCUGGUCUGUAACUGACGCUGAGGCUCGAAAGUAUGGGUAGCAAACAGGAUUAGAUACCCUGGUAGUCCAUACCGUAAACGAUGAAUGCUAAGUGUUGGAGGGUUUCCGCCCUUCAGUGCUGCAGCUAACGCAUUAAGCAUUCCGCCUGGGGAGUACGGCCGCAAGGCUGAUUAACUUUGAAUGCAAGCUUUCGGGCUCAAACGAAGAAGUGGCAUCGGGAACUGGGAAACAUGAGUGCAGAAGAGGACAGUGGAACUCCAUGUGUAGCGGUGAAAAGCGUAGAUAUAUGGAAGAACACCAGUGGCGAAGGCGGCUGUCUGGUCUGUAACUGACGCUGAGGCUCGAAAGUAUGGGUAGCAAACAGGAUUUGAUACCCUGGUAGUCCAUACCGUAAACGAUGAAUGCUAAGUGUUGGAGGGUUUCCGCCCUUCAGUGGUGCAGCUAACGCAUUAAGCAUUCCGCCUGGGGAGUACGGCCGCAAGGCUGAAACUCAAAGGAAUUGACGGGGGCCCGCACAAGCGGUGGAGCAUGUGGUUUAAUUUGAAGCUACGCGAAGAACCUUACCAGGUCUUGACAUACUAUGCAAAUUUAAGAGAUUAGACGUUCCCUUCGGGGACAUGGAUACAGGUGGUGCAUGGUUGUCGUCAGCUCGUGUCGUGAGAUGUUGGGUUAAGUCCCGCAACGAGCGCAACCCUUAUUAUCAGUUGCCAGCAUUAAGUUGGGCACUUUGGUGAGACUGCCGGUGACAAACCGGAGGAAGGUGGGGAUGACGUCAAAUCAUCAUGCCCCUUAUGACCUGGGCUACACACGUGCUACAAUGGAUGGUACAACGAGUUGCGAACUCGCGAGAGUAAGCUAAUCUCUUAAAGCCAUUCUCAGUUCGGAUUGUAGGCUGCAACUCGCCUACAUGAAGUCGGAAUCGCUAGUAAUCGCGGAUCAGCAUGCCGCGGUGAAUACGUUCCCGGGCCUUGUACACA
rnacentral:rRNA from 2 species